UCGGGAACCGAGUAGAGUGGCGCACGGGUGAGUAACACGUAGGUAAUUUGCCUUUGGGUGGGGAAUAACUCAGGGAAACUUGAGCUAAUACCGCAUAAUGCAGCGGCUCGACAUCGAGACAGUUGUUAAAGCGGGGGAUUCGCAAGAACCUCGCGCCUGAAGAGAAGCCUGCGGCAGAUUAGCUAGUUGGUAAGGUAAUGGCUUACCAAGGCGACGAUCUGUAACCGGCCUGAGAGGGCGGUCGGUCACACUGACACUGACAUACGGGUCAGACUCCUACGGGAGGCAGCAGUCGGGAAUUUUGGGCAAUGGGCGAAAGCCUGACCCAGCAACGCCGCGUGAAGGAUGAAAUUUUUCGGAAUGUAAACUUCGCAAGAACGGGAAGAAUAAGUGGGGGACAAUACCCCCCAUGAUGACGGUACCGUUUGUAGGCUCCGGCUAACUCCGUGCCAGCAGCCGCGGUAAUACGGGGGGAGCAAGCGUUGUUCGGAUUUACUGGGCGUAAAGGGCGCGUAGGCGGUCGUGACAAGUCACUUGUGAAAUCUCCGGGCUUAACUCGGAGCGGCCAAGUGAUACUGUCGUGCUAGAGUGCGGAAGGGGCUACUGGAAUUCUCGGUGUAGCGGUGAAAUGCGUAGAUAUCGAGAGGAACACCUGCGGCGAAGGCGGGUAGCUGGGGCGACACUGACGCUGAGGCGCGAAAGCUAGGGG
rnacentral:rRNA from 1 species